CAACGAGUUUUGGUGUCUUACUUCUUCGUUUACGUUUGUAGCUAGGCUUGUAUUAGUUAGUGUGCCUCUCUAUUUCUUCCCGCGCGCCUCGAGGAACAUAUCUACUCCUCUCUUCCCUAUCCGGCUAAAAUUACGCGCAGACGACGUUCGAGGGUUCGCGCGGCGACUGCCUCUUCCUCUUGUGUCUCUGCUGUGCAUGCGUCUCGGCGCAUCGGCGCGGGUAUCUCUCCAUCCCCCCUCACCCCGAGCACGUCUUUACCGUGGUUGGCCCUUUUAGAGCUCCUCUGCACAUCCGGCAGUCGAACCCCUCCAUCGUCCUCCUUCCACAGCACGUCACCGCAACACACCGCCACGCGCACGACCGCAGAGAGAUCGGCGACAUCGCAAAAGAAAAGAACGAAGACGACAUGGUGCAGGGGUUGUCCUCAGCGAAGGCCGUGCUGGCGCUCCUGAGUGAGGAGGAGAACCUGGUCGUGCUCUUUGCACUCAAGCGGCUCUCGUCCUUGAUGGACACGUUCUGGCACGAGGUCAGUGCGAAGCUGCCCCUCAUCGAGGAACUUGCCGCCUCCGAGAAGUUGGCGGAUGAGACGCGCCGCCUCGCGUCUCUCGUGGCGUCGCAGGUGUACUUCCACCUCGGCGACUACAGCAACUCGGUAAAACAUGCGCUCGCCGCCGGCACCGCCUUCGACGCGACGACGCGGUCGCUCUUUACGGACACGAUCUUGAGCCGCUGUAUUGACACGUAUGUGGCAUACCAGGAAACGCCGGAGAGCGAGCGAGCGGAGCUGCCGCCAAAGCUGGAGGAGCUCUUCGUCUCUCUGACCAAGUCAUGGGUGAUGGAGAACGAGACCAUGGCGGACUUGAAGGAGAUGGUCGGCUUCACCGUGCGUGCGUUCCGGCUGGACUUCCUGGAGAAGGUGCUGCGCCAGGCGCUGAGCAAGACGCACUCGGCCGAGAUUCUGAACUUCACCUUCUACGUGGCGAAUGUGCUGCUGCAAGACAUCACGUUCCGCCGCAAGGUGCUCCGUCUGCUUGCGGACCUGUACACGGAUGGUCUCUCCACUAUUGACUACUACUCCCUGGCCCACUGCCUGCUGUUCCUUGGCGAUGUGGAGGCGACGUCGAACCUUAUUUGUGGCUUGUGGAGGGGCGGCAGUAGGAUGGUCGCCUUCCAGCUAGCUUUUGACCUCUUUGAGUACGGCAACCAGGAGUAUCUCUCAGGCGUCGUCGCCCAUUUGGACAAGCAGCUCGGAGUGGCGGAGCAGGCGCUGGCGGUGCAGCCGGCCCCGAGUACCUCUGACGCUGCCGGUGCGGCGGCAGCCCCAUCUGCGCCCGCCACGUCCCUGUCCCCCACGACGACUGCCGGUGAUGCGUCUGGCGCACCGGUAGCCGCGGCGGUGCCGGAGUCGCCGGAGCAGAAGCUGCUCUCCGUUCUCAGUGGUCAGGUGACGACGAACCUGAACGUGAAGUACCUUUACUCUCGCUGCGUCGCCGACGUGUACGUGCUGAUGCAUAUCAAGAAGAUGACUGACCCACGCAACUCGGUUAUUCACAACGCCACGGUGGUGGCGAACGCGUUCAUGUACAGCGGCACCACGAUGGACGGCUUCUUGCGCGACAACAUGAAGUGGCUCGGCGCUGCGCAGCACUGGGCCAAGUUCACCGCCGUCGCCAGCACUGGUGCCAUUCACCGUGGGCACACGGAGGAGGCGAUGCGGGUGCUGGAGCAGUACCUGCCGAAGGGCCCAAGCGUGCCGACGCUGCCGUACCAGGAGGCAGGUGCGCUGUACGCGCUCGGCCUCAUCUACUCCCCGCUCGGAGCCACGCGUGACCGCAGGACUAUUCAGUACCUUGAAGAGAACUUGCAAAAAUUCUCGACAAACGUGCAGAUGGUCCACGGCGCCUCGCUCGGCAUCGGCCUCACGGCGAUGGGGCUGCAGGACGAGGGUCUCUACGACGCCCUCUUCACGUGCGUGACGGGCAUGGACGCGGUGGCGGCCGAGGGCGCGUCCGUUGGCGUCGGCAUGCUCAUGCUUGGCAGCGGCAACGACAUUGUCUUGCAGAGUCUCAAGAACGUCGCAUACGAAGAGAACCAAAAGGAGAAGGUCAUACGUGGCGUGUGCAUGGCCAUGGCGCUCAUCAACCUCGGCCGCGAGGACGAGGCGCUCCUGUUGGCGGAGGAGCUGCUCGAGAGCGGUGACCCGUGGGUGCGCCUGGGCGGCUGCUUCGUGCUCGGCCUGGCCUACGCCGGCACCGAGAACGCGAAGACGAUUGAGAAGCUGCUUAGCGUCACAGUGAAGGACAUGUCCGAUGACGUCCGCCGCACAGCUGUGACCAUGGUCGGCUUCCUGACCUUCAAGGACCCGAACCUGUGCCUCGAUCUGAUUCGCGUGCUCGUGGACAGCUACAGUCCGCACGUACGCUACGGUGUAGCGAUGGCGCUGGCUGUGAGCGCGGCCGGCACCGGCAACGCCGCCGUCAUCGACGUGCUGUGGGACAUGCUGGAGGACAUUGUCGACUACGUGCGCCAGGGUGCCGCGAUGGGGCUUGCCAUGGUUAUGGUGCAGCUGACGGAAAAGGAGAACCCGAGAGUGAAGGAUUUCCGCCUGUUGUUGGAGAAGAAGAUCGAGGACCGUAACGAGGGACGCUGCUCCAAAUUCGGCUACGUGCUUGCCUCCGGCCUGCUCGACGCGGGCGGCCGCAACUGCACCUUUGCCUUGCACAAGCAGCGCCACCGCCUCGACAAGGCUGUCGUCGGCGUCUUCAUGUUCCUGCAGUACUGGUACUGGUACCCGUACCUGCUCAUGAUCACGCUGGCUAUGCAGCCCACGUGCAUCAUUGGCCUGAACGAGUCGCUGGAGCUACCCGAGUACACCUUCAAGUCCAACGCCCCUCCCAGCACCUACGCCGUGCCCAAGUCGGUGCUGCAGGAGAAGAGGGUGAAGACGUCCGAAGUGCAGGCGGUCGUGCUGUCCACAACGCGCAAGGAGGAGGAGCUGCGGCAGCGCCGUCACCAGGGGCCUGGAAGCCCGGGGUUGGCUGCCGGCGCCUCCGCGACUGGCGCGCCUGGCGGUGAUGGCGGGGCUGCUGAGGCGGGCAGCAAGAGGGGCGGCGACAAGGACGGCGGCGGUGAGUCUGGAGAGGCGGCGGAGCAGGAACCGGCCUUUGAGCUCCUUCACAACCCGGCGCGUGUGACGGCGCAUCAGUUUUCCGUCAUUUCGCACGACGUAGACGUGCGGUACGUACCGCUGAAGCCGAAGCCGAUGGGCAUCUGCCUUUUGAAGGACACGAAGCCUGAAAUGGGUGCCGAGGUGCUGGUAGCGCCUGUGGUGCUGUCGGACCGCGACGAGGCCCCUGUGCCGGAGCCCUUCUCCUACCCGUAGAGCAGCAGCAUUCGCGGAUGAGGAGGGCGCGGGCUGUGCUGCACAGACGCAUGCAGGCACCCAAGCAGACUGACGCACACUUGCCCGAGGCCUCACGACGGCACUACGACAGAUGCCAAAGCAGCUCGCCAGCUUUUUUUUCUUUCCUUCGGAGUUUCAUUAGGCGCGCCGCAUACAUCAGGGCGACCUUCGCCCUCUUCCCCCCGGCCUUUUGUAUCCAUCUCCUCUGCGUCCUGUUUCACGGUCGAUGAUUCGUCUCUCUGUAAGGUGUGGGGCGGGUGCCUCACCCGCUUGGGCUGUCGUUAUCGCGCCUGUACGUGUGCUGACCUCUUCAUAAAGAGCGGAGCUGCAAAAUGACGAGGCCAGGAGAGGGUGUACAGGUGUGUCUCGGUUUAUUGGGGAGCACCACCAUCACGUGGCCCCCGUAGGGGGCGUGUGCGUGUGCGUGUGCGUGGGGGAGAGGGGCGAUUAGAGGAAGGGAGGGGGGAGGAGGUAACGCUUCCUCCGCCUGUCGCAGCUUCUCUUCGCUCGCUUUUUGCAUGUAGUCUUCCCGCCAGCUCUCUCUCUCUCACCCUGUACUCUGUUGCCCAGCCGUUUUGCGCUCUUGUUGUUCGCCUUCACCGAUGGGUCUUUGAUGUUUUAUGUGUAUGUGUAUGUGUGCAUAUGCGUGCUCCAGACAGACACGCAAAAAGAAAACACAGCAAGACAAGAACGAACUGCGCACUCUGACGGUGUGUCGGCGUGCCGUCUCGCUGUGGUACGGAUACGCGUGUGCGCCAUUCUUAACAGGCAAUCAAACAAACAAAACAGCGCCACGCCGCUCCGUCGCCUUUCUCCUGAUCCGUUGCUCUCCCAUCCGCCUCCUUUUUUCCCACGCACCUCUCGCUGAGAGAGGAUGAGGCCAGCGUGGAAGGGGGGCGCAGGGGGUGGUGGGCGGGACCGGAGGCGCGAUUGACGUGGGCAGCCAGAGAAAAAAGAACUGGAGACAAGGCAGCCGCCUUCCUACGCGGCACCGCGUGCCUCCGCCCAGCCCCCCCCUCCCUCCCCCUCGUUCUCUAUGCUGCUUGCAUGCGCCUCCGCGCGGCUGCUGCCCUGUGCCCGGGGAAUACGCCAGAGUGAGAGUGACGUGCGCUUCUGUGGCCCUGCUCCACUUCGCACCCUCAGGGGGGGAGUGGGGAGGUGAAAGGCAAAGGCGGAUCUAAGCCCACUGGUAUCCAGAAAGGUGUCGCGGCGUAGGUCUACAUCCGGUAUCUGUUCUCGCAUUUCUCUCUUAUGCUCGCCCUGUCUGUCGUCUCUUUAG
rnacentral:misc_RNA from 1 species